rnacentral:misc_RNA from 1 species
GAUGAAGAACGUAGCGAAAUGCGAUACGUAAUGUGAAUUGCAGAAUUCAGUGAAUCAUCGAGUCUUUGAACGCACAUUGCGCCCCCUGGUAUUCCGGGGGGCAUGCCUGUCCGAGCGUCAUUGCUGCCCUCAAGCACGGCUUGUGUGUUGGGCCUCCGUCCUCCUCCCGGGGGACGGGCCCGAAAGGCAGCGGCGGCACCGCGUCCGGUCCUCGAGCGUAUGGGGCUUCGUCACCCGCUCUUGUAGGCCCGGCCGGCGCUUGCCGACACAUCAAUCUUUUUUCCAGGUUGACCUCGGAUCAGGUAGGGAUACCCGCUGAACUUAAGCAUAUCAAUAAGGAGGA